CGCCAUAUUCGGGGAGUAACCACUGGGAUAUGGGGAAAUGACUUACUGUGGGAAGUGCUUGAGAUAGGUCAAAGGGAUGGCGAAGAUAGAUCCCUAAGCACGCAAAGACUGUCGGGU
rnacentral:sRNA from 12 species